rnacentral:rRNA from 1 species
GACGAACGCUGGCGGCGUGCCUAAUACAUGCAAGUAGAACGCACAGUUUAUACCGUAGCUUGCUACACCAUAGACUGUGAGUUGCGAACGGGUGAGUAACGCGUAGGUAACCUGCCUGGUAGCGGGGGAUAACUAUUGGAAACGAUAGCUAAUACCGCAUAAUAUUAAUUAUUGCAUGAUAAUUAAUUGAAAGGUGCAAUUGCACCACUACCGGAUGGACCUGCGUUGUAUUAGCUAGUAGGUGAGGUAACGGCUCACCUAGGCGACGAUACAUAGCCGACCUGAGAGGGUGAUCGGCCACACUGGGACUGAGACACGGCCCAGACUCCUACGGGAGGCAGCAGUAGGGAAUCUUCGGCAAUGGACGAAAGUCUGACCGAGCAACGCCGCGUGAGUGAAGAAGGUUUUCGGAUCGUAAAGCUCUGUUGUAAGAGAAGAACGGGUGUGAGAGUGGAAAGUUCACACUGUGACGGUAUCUUACCAGAAAGGGACGGCUAACUACGUG